rnacentral:rRNA from 1 species
AACGAACGCUGGCGGCAGGCUUAACACAUGCAAGUCGAACGCCCCGCCAGGGGAGUGGCAGACGGGUGAGUAACGCGUGGGAACAUACCCUUUUCUACGGAAUAGCUCUGGGAAACUGGAAUUAAUACCGUAUACGCCCUACGGGGGAAAGAUUUAUCGGGGAAGGAUUGGCCCGCGUUGGAUUAGCUAGUUGGUGGGGUAAAGGCCUACCAAGGCGACGAUCCAUAGCUGGUCUGAGAGGAUGAUCAGCCACAUUGGGACUGAGGCACGGCCCAAACUCCUACGGGAGGCAGCAGUGGGGAAUAUUGGACAAUGGGCGCAAGCCUGAUCCAGCCAUGCCGCGUGAGUGAUGAAGGCCUUAGGGUUGUAAAGCUCUUUCACCGAUGAAGAUAAUGACGGUAGUCGGAGAAGAAGCCCCGGCUAACUUCGUG